GUGCCAGCAGCCGCGGUAAUACGUAGGGGGCAAGCGUUGUCCGGAUUUAUUGGGCGUAAAGAGCGUGUAGGCGGUUCGGUAGGUCCGUUGUGAAAACUCGAGGCUCAACCUCGAGACGCCGAUGGAAACCCCCGAACUAGAGUCCGGAAGAGGAGAGUGGAAUUCCUGGUGUAGCGGUGAAAUGCGCAGAUAUCAGGAAGAACACCCGUGGCUAAGGCGGCUCUCUAGUACGGUACUGACGCUGAGACGCGAAAGCGUGGGGAGCGAACAGGAUUAGAUACCCUGGUAGUCC
rnacentral:rRNA from 1 species